UACGUAGGGGGCAAGCGUUGUCCGGAUUUAUUGGGCGUAAAGAGCGUGUAGGCGGCCAUGUAGGUCCGUUGUGAAACUCGAGGCUCAACCUCGAGACGCCGAUGGAAACCAUGUGGCUAGAGUCCGGAAGAGGAGAGUGGAAUUCCCGGUGUAGCGGUGAAAUGACGCAGAGAUCGGGGAGGAACACCCGUAGCGAAGGCGGCGCUCUGGGC
rnacentral:rRNA from 1 species